rnacentral:rRNA from 1 species
UGGGGAAUAUUGCGCAAUGGAGGCAACUCUGACGCAGCCAUGCCGCGUGUGUGAAGAAGGCCCUCGGGUUGUAAAGCACUUUCAAUUGGGAGAAAAAGCUUGUCGUUAAUAGCGGCAAGCCUUGAUGUUACCUUUAGAAGAAGCACCGGCUAACUCCGUGCCAGCAGCCGCGGUAAUACGGAGGGUGCGAGCGUUAAUCGGAAUUACUGGGCGUAAAGCGCGCGUAGGCGGUUGCUUAAGUCGGAUGUGAAAGCCCCGGGCUCAACCUGGGAACUGCAUUCGAUACUGGGCGACUAGAGUACGAGAGAGGGAGGUAGAAUUCCACGUGUAGCGGUGAAAUGCGUAGAUAUGUGGAGGAAUAUCGGUGGCGAAGGCGGCCUCCUGGCUCGAUACUGACGCUGAGGUGCGAAAAGCGUGGGGAGCAAAACAGGAUUAGAUACCCUGGUAGUCCACGCCGUAAACGAUGUCUACUAGCCGUUGGGGUACUUGAGACCUUAGUGGCGCAGCUAACGCGAUAAAGUUGACCGCCUGGGAGU